CGAAGGGCUAGCGUUGCUCGGAAUUACUGGACGUAAAGGGCGCGUAGGCGGCACUGUUAAGUCAGGCGUGAAAGUCCUGGGCUCAAACCUGGGGAACUGCGCUUGAUACGGCAGAGCUAGAGGAUGGAAGAGGCUCGCGGAAUUCCCAGUGUAGAGGUGAAAUUCGUAGAUAUUGGGAAGAACACCGGUGGCGAAGGCGGCGAGCUGGUCCAUUACUGACGCUGAGGCGCGACAGCGUGGGAGCAAACGAGGAUU
rnacentral:rRNA from 1 species